UUUGCACUGAGUAAACAAGGCAGCGGUGAGUUCCCGCAGCUAACUCGAAAGUGUGUGCAGACUCAGGACAAGCUAAGCGCAAUUCCCUCCUCUUGGGGUCGCUAGUCCUGGAGGCGCUAGAGAUGGUAAGG
rfam:Pteropus alecto contig21941, whole genome shotgun sequence.